rnacentral:SRP_RNA from 1 species
UGGUCUCGCGCAAUGCGACGCUGCGAACCGUGUCAGGUCGGGAACGAAGCAGCACUAAGCAGAUGCUCCAUGUGCCGUGAGGGC